rnacentral:lncRNA from 1 species
AAAGGCCAUUUCAGCAAUCAAAGGUCAUUUCACAGAAAUAUUAACAAUUUGCUAGAGGAUUGCAUAUGCUAUUAUAGUCUUUAAACUGAACUUAAAAGUUUAAUGACUAGCUUUUUAAAAAUUCUGUUACUUUAACAACUUGAAUAUUAAUUUUUAAAAGUAAGAUUCUUGUGUUCCCUGUGUUCAAAAAGCCACCCUCAGAGGCACAGGAAGUGAGCAGUUGGUGCUCUGUGAGGUCCUCGUGUGCUAGCUCCAGGGCUUUGUUUCAGGUUGGCUUGUGCAGGGCUCUGCUCAGCAGUGACAGGAACUACCCUCUCCUCGCUCAUAAGAAGCAAACCACCAAUGGUCAAUAAAGCCAUUGUCAAAAUAAGGCUUUAUGGCUCUCACUACAAAGAAAGUGACAUAGUUUAUUGUGGAGCCAAAUGACCAUGGCCCAGGAACAUAGAAUCAGUCUGCUCCUAUCACCCUGUCCCAAUAUAAUAACAGUUUCAUGACGUGUUUACAGUUACAAACCAAAUCAUGGCCUUUUAAUAAUAUAGACAUGAAUAUCAGGUAGUUGGGUGUGGUGGUUUGAGUACGCCUUGCCAUGGGAAACGUCAUUAUGAGGAGGUAUGGCCUUGUUGAAACAGGUGAGGACGAGUGAGUCUUUUCUCGGCUGUCCUCAGAUCUAGGUGUUGAACUCUUAUCUUCAGCACCAUGUCCGCCUGGACGCUGCCAUGAUGAAACUGGACUGAACCUCUGAACCUGUGAGCCAGCUACAAUUAAAUGUUUGCCUUUACUAGAGCUGCCUGGGUCAUGACGUUCCUUUACAGCAACGGAACCCUAAAACACUGGGCCAUAGCAAGUGAGGUAGCCUCCACCACAGGCCUCGUGCACUUUCUCAUGACAGCCUUUGUGCUGUCAGAAGCUUGUGGUCUGUAAAGAAUAUUAGGACACAGAAGUGGACAAUGGAUGCCUAUAAAGGGAGCUAAGACAACCCAAGAUAACUUGGCUCUGGGCCUCCAACAUGCUAACUCCGCAGUCUACCAGGCCCAGCAGGUAAAGUCUUGAACACAAUCUAGCUUUCAUCUCUUGCGACCUCAGUCUCAUAACCAGCAGAGUUCCCAUUGGUUCCCACUGGUCCCAAUGGUCUUCAGCCUUUGGACAUCGUUUUGUCUUUUAGCUUGGCAGGUGAGCCAUGUUUUAUUUUUAUUAUUUUAAUAUUAUUGAGAAAACAUUACAUUUGACCUUGCCUGGCCCUCCUCCACCUCUCAUCUGCUUCCCAGUGCAUGGGAACACAGGACCCUUCCACUUAAAACAUCUGUUCUGAUCUUAAUUUCCCCACUUUAACUAUCAUCAUCACCAAAAGUGGUCCUGCCUCUCUGUGGCUUCAGGGGGGGAAGAUGCCCCCCCCCCUACAGGUGACUCAGCAGAGUAGAGGGAAACCCUCAGCCACAGGUGGAGGGGGAUUCACAUGGAAAGUGAUACCUUUCCUUUUAAACGGGGGAGGAGGGGACUGUCGAGGUCUCAGCAGGUUAGAGCACUUGCUAUUGUUGCGAGGACCAGCAUUGGGUUCCCACCUUUGAUGUUAGGUGCUCACAGCUGCCUGUAACUCUAGCUCCAGGGGACUCUGGCACUUUUGACUUGCAAUGAUCCCUGCACACGUGUGGAAUUAUGCCCACAGGCACAUAAUUAAAGAACAUGAUAAAAAAAAUAACAUUUAAAAGCGCGAGGAAGUAUGAAUUGAGGGGAAAUGGACUUGAAGACAGUUCCUGUCUUGUGGUAGAGAAAUGGGGUCAGCGGGCGGCUCUGGGUUUGAGCGCUGCUUCAUCACUGAUCAGCUUUCUAGCCAGGAAAAAAAAAAAUCACGGACAGGAUUUCCAAGCCUCACUUCCUCCUAAGGAAAAUGAGAUUUUGCUCAUUCAUUCAUUUUACUGAUUUUGCAGUCCGGGCUCUUUUGCUUUUCAGUCAUUGUGCGCGUGUGCGCGUGCGCGCGUGCGCACGUGCAUGUGUGAGUUUUUUGUUGCCAUGACUGCGGCAAUUUAUAGAAGAAAAAGUUUGUUUGCACUUAAGGUUCAAGGGUUAGAGUUCAUGACGACAAAGCAGAGGCCUGGCAGCUGGCAGCUGAAGCUGAGGGCUCAGUGGGAAUGGCCAAGGCUUUGAAAUCUCAGAGUCCAUCCUUACACCCCCAACUCCCGACCCCACCCCGUACUUCUUUCAUCAAGGCUACACCUCCUAAGCUUCCUCAGCAGGAGACCAAGCACUCAGACGUCUGUGCCUGUGUGGGACAUUCUCAUUCAGACCUCCACAGUUUGUCUGUGUGACUCGGGAGCCAGCACAGUGUGGGUCUAUCUACUGAACUCAGGCUUAGGGAGGAGAGCUGUACCUGCUGAGCCAUCUCGCUGCCAUCUCCGUAGUUCUGAUAGAGAGAGAGAGCGCGACCUUCACACAAAGACAAACCGCUUCUAAAGCCUGGAGAAGAGUGCCCAGCACAAAGCGAUUCUUCAGGAAAACUCUGCUGUUAAAUUGUAUACGAGUUCUAAUUGCUAGCACUGCACUGCACUAAUGAUAAAAGAACCGUAGCAGCCCUUGGUGCUGAAAGGAAGGUGACCCACAAUUACCCUCAGUGAGUUUCAUUAGCAAUGAAAAGGGCUCAAGGUCAUGGUUGGGCCUCUAAAUGGGCAGAAGAAAAAUCACACAGGAAAAAAAAUAAUAUAAGGCAUUUUAACAUGAUGGAGCUUAUGUUUAAGAGAAAGAGGAUGUUUCCAUUUAAACCUGAAGCGGGGGUUUAUUUAAAGAGAAACAGGGACAGGGACAAAGGUGAUUGUGCUGAUGAGAGAUAACAGGACAGCUUUCAGGGCACCUCCAGAGCAACCCCCACCCCAGGAGUCUCCAGUCCCGUUUCCCCAAACAAAGGAGAAUUUUGGCUUUUUAUAACCUUAGGGGAGUAGCAGAAGGUUUCCGUUCUGUAUGGCCUAUGUAACAGAGCCCUCAGAGGAGAUGGGGAUCAAAUUGUGAAGCCUGUCACGUCACAAUACAAACUGUUUUUUAACUCUCUGUCCCAGGACGCGUGGGGGGUGGGGAGGGGCAUAGAGCUGUAGCCUAAUUUAGGCUAUAGGAUCUGACUAGUGGGCCAAGAAAGACACAAUGCUAUCAAGAGAAGGGGGGAAGAGGAAGAGAGAGGGGGAAAGGUGGUGGCUGAAAGAGAAAGGGGAAAAAGAGAUAGAGGGAGAGGGCAUUCCCCUUAUUUAUAGGGAAAAUGAUGUAACACAGGUAAAAGUGGGAGGUGAGCCAAGUAGAUUCUGGGAAUAGGUGCCUGUUGCCUUGGCAACGGGUCUGCGGGUCGCACUGUCGCCUGUGUGACGUCAUAGGUUUGGGAGGUCGUGAUGCCAACAGCAUAAGCAUGCAGCAGUGAAUCCUUCAUUUGUCCAGACCCAGUCUCCAGGGCCACAGCUUCCUACACAGACAUCGCCCUGCCCAUCCGAUGGGGUUGUUAGCAUCUUUCUCUCCUCUUGAGGAAACACAACCGCUUGGGACUCAGUUCCUUUUUCAGAUUUAUGUCUUUCAGUCAAAGGCUAAGUAAGUCCUUGGUUUUAUAAAUAAUGGCAGAUGGUAAGAAUGGAUCCUCUCCCUCCCUUCCUCCCCCCUUCCUUCCCUACCCGCCCUUCCCUCCCUUAUGCACUUUCUUCUUCCUUCCUACUAUAAUAUUCAUUUAGAAAUAGCUUUUACUAAAGACAGUCUCCUCACCCCUUGGGCCCACA